rnacentral:rRNA from 1 species
CAAGUCGAGCGGAAACGAUCCUAGCUUGCUAGGAGGCGUCGAGCGGCGGACGGGUGAGUAAUGCAUAGGAAUCUGCCCGGUAGUGGGGGAUAACUUGAGGAAACUCAAGCUAAUACCGCAUACGCCCUACGGGGGAAAGCAGGGGCUCUUCGGACCUUGCGCUAUCGGAUGAGCUUAUGUCGGAUUAGCUGGUUGGUGAGGUAACGGCUCACCAAGGCGACGAUCCGUAGCUGGUCUGAGAGGAUGAUCAGCCACAUCGGGACUGAGACACGGCCCGAACUCCUACGGGAGGCAGCAGUGGGGAAUAUUGGACAAUGGGGGCAACCCUGAUCCAGCCAUGCCGCGUGUGUGAAGAAGGCCCUCGGGUUGUAAAGCACUUUCAGCGAGGAAGAAUGCUUGUCGGUUAAUACCCGGCAAGGGAGACAUCACUCGCAGAAGAAGCACCGGCUAACUCCGUGCCAGCAGCCGCGGUAAUACGGAGGGUGCGAGCGUUAAUCGGAAUUACUGGGCGUAAAGCGUGCGUAGGCGGCUUGAUAAGCCGGUUGUGAAAGCCCCGGGCUCAACCUGGGAACGGCAUCCGGAACUGUNAGGCUAGAGUGCAGGAGAGGAAGGUAGAAUUCCCGGUGUAGCGGUGAAAUGCGUAGAGAUCGGGAGGAAUACCAGUGGCGAAGGCGGCCUUCUGGACUGACACUGACGCUGAGGUACGAAAGCGUGGGUAGCAAACAGGAUUAGAUACCCUGGUAGUCCACGCCGUAAACGAUGUCGACUAGCCGUUGGGGUCCUCGAGACCUUUGUGGCGCAGUUAACGCACUAAGUCGACCGCCUGGGGAGUACGGCCGCAAGGUUAAAACUCAAAUGAAUUGACGGGGGCCCGCACAAGCGGUGGAGCAUGUGGUUUAAUUCGAUGCAACGCGAAGAACCUUACCUACCCUUGACAUCGUGCGAACUUUCCAGAGAUGGAUUGGUGCCUUCGGAGCGCACAGACAGGUGCUGCAUGGCUGUCGUCAGCUCGUGUUGUUG